AACGAACGCUGGCGGCAGGCUUAACACAUGCAAGUCGAGCGCCCCGCAAGGGGAGCGGCAGACGGGUGAGUAACGCGUGGGAAUCUACCCAUCUCUACGGAAUAACGCAUGGAAACGUGUGCUAAUACCGUAUCCGUCCUUCGGGAGAAAGAUUUAUCGGAGGUGGAUGAGCCCGCGUUGGAUUAGCUAGUUGGUGGGGUAAAGGCCUACCAAGGCGACGAUCCAUAGCUGGUCUGAGAGGAUGAUCAGCCACACUGGGACUGAGACACGGCCCAGACUCCUACGGGAGGCAGCAGUGGGGAAUAUUGGACAAUGGGCGCAAGCCUGAUCCAGCCAUGCCGCGUGAGUGAUGAAGGCCCUAGGGUUGUAAAGCUCUUUCACCGGUGAAGAUAAUGACGGUAACCGGAGAAGAAGCCCCGGCUAACUUCGUGCCAGCCGCCGCGGUAAGAC
rnacentral:rRNA from 1 species